rnacentral:rRNA from 1 species
UACGGAGGGUGCAAGCGUUACUCGGGAUCACGGGGCGUAAAGGGCGCGUAGGCGGUCUAGCAAGUCUGGUGUGAAAGCCCAGGGCUCAACCCUGGAAGGGCACUGGAAACUGUUAGGCUUGAGUUCCGGAGAGGAGGGGGGAAUUCCCGGUGUAGCGGUGAAAUGCGUAGAUAUCGGGAGGAAUACCGGUGGCGAAGGCGCCCCUCUGGACGGAAACUGACGCUGAGGCGCGAAAGCGUGGGGAGCAAACAGG